ACUCUUCAAAUAAUAAUGUUUGCCUCUGUCUUAGGGUUUCUAUUGCCAUGAAAAGACACCAUGACCAUGACAACUCUUACAAGGAAAACAUUCAGAAUUUGAGUCCAUUAUCAUCAUGGCAGGGAUCGUGGAACUGGUUCCCUUCUCAGCGACAAGCACAGGCUACACACGCUUAGCAAACACCGUCUGGCAGCCAAGCAAGGUGAUGAUGUGUG
rnacentral:lncRNA from 1 species